rnacentral:rRNA from 1 species
GGUCAGGAUGAACGCUGGCGGCGUGCCUAACACAUGCAAGUCGAACGGUCCUAAGGGGUGGAGAUUUCGAUCAAAGCGAAUUAGGGAUAGUGGCGGACGGGUGAGUAACGCGUGGAGAACCUGCCCUUUACCGGGGGAUAACAGUGAGAAAUCACUGCUAAUACCGCAUAAGCGCACUAUACCGCAUGGUACAGUGUGAAAAACUCCGGUGGUAAAAGGAUGGCUCCGCGUUGGAUUAGCCAGUUGCGGGGUAACGGCCCACCAAAGCGACGAUCCAUAGCCGGCCUGAGAGGGUGGACGGCCACAUUGGGACUGAGACACGGCCCAGACUCCUACGGGAGGCAGCAGUGGGGAAUAUUGCACAAUGGGGGGAACCCUGAUGCCAGCGACGCCGCGUGAAGGAAGAAGUAUCUCGGUAUGUAAACUUCUAUCAGCAGGGAAGAUGAUGACGGUACCUGACUAAGAAGCCCCGGCUAACUACGUGCCAGCCGCGGC